CCCAACUAUCCCUAUUAAUCAUUACGUUGUACCUAGAAACCAACAAAAUAGGUUCGAACGUCCUAUUUCAUUAUUCCAUGCUAAUGUAUUCAAGCGUUUGCCUGCUUUAAACACUCUAAUUUUUUCAAAGUAACAGUCCUGACUCCCCACGACACCAAAUUAAUGACAUCAUGGCUCAUCAGAAGGGAGAAAUCAACGACCCCAGUGCGAACCGAAGGCACGACCGACGUAUUGAUCCCGAAAUUCAACUACGAGCUUUUUAACUGCAACAACUUUAAUAUACGCUAUUGGAGCUGGAAUUACCGCGGCUGCUGGCACCAGACUUGCCCUCCAA
rnacentral:misc_RNA from 1 species